CACACACACACACAAACACACUCUACAGGGAGGUUAGAUAGAUGGUAGACUCCUUCACUCUACAGGGAGGUUAGAUAGAUGGUAGACUCCUUCACUCUACAGGGAGGUUAGAUAGAUGGUAGACUCCUUCACUCUACAGGGAGGUUAGAUAGAUGGUAGACUCCUUCACUCUACAGGGAGGUUAGAUAGAUGGUAGACUCCUUCACUCUACAGGGUGGUUAGAUAGAUGGUAGACUCCUUCACUCUACAGGGUGGUUAGAUAGAUGGUAGACUCCUUCACUCUACAGGGUGGUUAGAUAGACGGUAGACUCCUUCACUCUGCAGUCUUGGUAGGGUUCCAUCCACACUACACCACUCCGUUCCCAAUCUGGCCCUCAUGCCAUCAUGGCCACCUGAUCAUCCCCAGCUUCCAGUUGACUCAUUCAUCCCCCUCCUCUCCCCUGUAACUAUUCCCCAGGCCGUUGCUGUAAAUGAGAAUGUGUUCUCAGUCAACUUACCUGGUAAAUCAAAAUAAAAAAAUGUCUCAUCUUGAUCGGAUACACCGGCAUUUCUUUGUCUUAGAUGUUCUUUCUGACUUAACCAUACGCCUCCUCACACAGCAUGUCGCAACAUGGCAUCUCCAAAU
ensembl:lncRNA